CUCCAACUUCAGGGCAGAGUGAGAUACGAAAGUAUCAAUUCUCGACUGGCGGUGAUACUCCAAGAGAGGCAAGUCCGCGAGCGUUUGGCCGAUCAGGUUAGAAUCCUGAACCAACAGUAUAGUCUGGAUGAAAGAAGUAGUUG
rfam:Anaerostipes hadrus draft genome.